rnacentral:tRNA from 1 species
GCAUUAAUGGGGUAGUGGUAACCUGGGUCGUUGCCAUUGAUCGAGCAGUAGUUCGACCCGCCGGGGGUUCGAUUCCCCCUUAAUGCA